CAAUGCUCUGUCAGCUGAGCUACGCUGUCAGGACGGUUCGAGUAAGUGAUAUUUCGGAACAGAAUCUAGUUCCUUCGUCCUGACCGCGUGGCUCAGUUGAUAGAGCAUUGGG